GGGACGAACGCUGGCGGCGUGCUUAACACAUGCAAGUCGAGCGGAAAGGCCCUUCGGGGUACUCGAGCGGCGAACGGGUGAGUAACACGUGAGUAAUCUGCCCCUAGCUCUGGGAUAGCUCCGGGAAACCGGGAUUAAUACCGGAUACGACCACCUUAGACAUCUUUUGUGGUGGAAAGAAUUUCGGCUAGGGAUGAGCUCGCGGCCUAUCAGCCUGUUGGUGGGGUAACGGCCUACCAAGGCGACGACGGGUAG
rnacentral:rRNA from 1 species